UUUGUAUUUAAAGUUUUCACCUUUGGUUUUAGGACCAUAAUAUUUGUUAUUUUUUAAACCUGUAAGUAUUUCCUGUCAUGUAAAUGAGACUACAUCUCAAGUUAUUUACAAUAUAUAGGCAGUAUGUAAAAAGGUGCAAAUUCUUUUAUGGUAAUAUAAACACUGAAAUGUCUUUAUUUCACUAUUUUAUUUAGAUUAUUUCAUUAUCCUACAACUGCACACAAGAAAACAAUUAAGCCAUAUAGAUUUGAAAUGUGUCUGUGUUUUUUUAAUUUGACAAAUCACCAGGUCAUUGGGUUUCAAUGCUGUCCAGUAAGCUGGAUGGACAGGUUGCUGCUCAGCGGCGGCUUACUCUUCUCUUGGUGUAAUUUUCUUCUUAGCAGAAUUGCCAGAUCUCAAGUUGCUGUGCCUGACACUGGGUACUCCCUUAAUCUUGGCACUUCUUUCUAUUGCAUCAGGAUGUUCUCAGACUUUGGAGGUGCAUCAGAAUCACUGGAGAAAUAAGGACACUGGGGACUUACCUUGCUUCAGGGGGACAAGACCCAAGCAUUUGUAUUGAUACUAAUUUCCCUGGAAAGUUUCAUGUGUGUGGCACUGGGAAUCGAACCCAGGGGCUCUCCCCCACUGGGCUACUUCCAUAGAUCUUUUUGUUUUGAGACAAGUUCUCACUAAAUUGCCCACACUGGCCUUGAACUUCCAAUCCUUUUGCCUCAGCCUCCGGAGUUGUGGGAUUUCAGGUGUGCACCACUGUGCCUAUAUUCCUGGGUGAUUCUGAGUUCAUUGGUGUCAGAGAUCACAAAGAAAGAGUGAGAAAUGAGUGAAAAUAAGAAUUGGUAUUUCUUAAGUAGAACCUGGAUCAUAGGGAAGGCUUUAGCCUUGUCAGCUGUUGUUAGUGAAAUAGCGUGAGGCCAUGCUUCUGGUUAGAAGUAGAAGAACAUUCUGCAGAUUAGUAAUGUGCUGCCUGCUUCCUGGAAGGAUCCUUGAAAUCCCAAGGGAAAGCACGAUAGGGAGAACAAAACCUCCAACUCAGGUUUACAGAGGGGAAAAAAUCUCAUUUUCAAGCAGCAGGACUUGAAUCUAGACAGAUGCUUCAUGUAAAUGAGGAAAUUCUCGUCUAUGGCAAAGUUCCAGACAAGCAGGAUGAACCUACAUCUGUCAAUCAACUCUUUAGAUUAACUUCAUUUAAUAUUUGAGUUCUUAUGAUUAAGGAAAGUGCCAAAUGGGAAAGAAUUAGAUUUCCCAGAGUUGACAAGGACCUCUAGGACCAGAAUAAAGUGGUUUCAAUCAGCUGAACCAGGUAUUCAUUGCCAAUAUCUCUUUUCUGAAUGAAUACCCAAUUACAGCCAUCAGCUGUGAAUAAAUAGAAAUGAAUUUCAGUUCUGUCUGAUAUCCUUCUUCCUUCUUCCCUCAUAGUUCUCCAUCUGCUGCUUCCGCUUCUGGAUGGCAUAGCACUGUGUUCAAGAAGCACAAUAAUUCCCAAACUCAUGAUCCCAUAGAGGCUGCAACACCAGAAUGUGCAGAUAUCUGAAGGGAACUAAUUUCACAAUUUGAAGGGAGUUAGUUAUGGAUUGGAAGCUUUGUAUAAAUUGUGGGUUUGUUUGAGCCAUUAUAAAGCAGAGAGGCUAUUUUUCUGGGAACUCCUGGUUGAAAUUCCCCAGUUUAAGAAAGCCCAGAUCAUGCUGGUGCUCUGCCUUAGCUCACAGUCCUAGGUUCAACGCAGCCUCCCAGAGAUGGGUGUAACAUUUAAAGCCCCAAACAACUUGUUUUCUCAUCCAUAUCCUGUUUUCUUCAAGAAGCCUGCCACACUGAAACCUUUUGAUGUAUUUCCCUUUAAAUAAAGGAUUGGGACCUUUUUUGCUGUUCAGUUACAGUUCCUGUCAG
rnacentral:lncRNA from 1 species